AUGGCGCGCUGGGCCAUCGCCAUCCACGGAGGCGCGGGCGUGGACCCCAACCUGCCGGAGCACCGCCAGGAGGAGGCCAAGCGCGUGCUGGCCCGGUGCCUGCAGGUCGGCGUCGACCUGCUCCGGGCUGGUGCGACGGCGCUGGACGUCGUGGAGGCCGUGGUGCGGGAGCUGGAGACGGACCCCUGCUUCAACUCGGGCCGCGGCUCCGCGCUCACACGCGCCGGCACCGUCGAGAUGGAGGCCAGCAUCAUGGACGGCCGCGGCCGCCGCUGCGGCGCCGUCUCCGGUGUGUCCACCGUUAAAAACCCCGUGUCCCUGGCCCGGCGCGUCAUGGACAAGUCCCCACACUCCUACCUCGCCUUCGACGGCGCCGAGGAUUUCGCGCGCGAGCAGGUAAUCCAUCAAUUAACGCCGAUAUGA
rnacentral:rRNA from 1 species